rnacentral:rRNA from 1 species
UACGUAGGGGGCAAGCGUUGUCCGGAUUUAUUGGGCGUAAAGCGCUCGCAGGUGGUUCGUCGCGUCGUGCGUGGAAGACCCCGGCUCAACUGGGGGAGGUCGUGCGAUACGGGCGAACUGGAGGCCAGUAGGGGGAUGCGGAAUUCCGGGUGUAGUGGUGGAAUGCGUAGAGAUCCGGAGGAACACCAGCGGCGAAGGCGGCAUCCUGGACUGGUCCUGACACUCAUGAGCGAAAGCGUGGGGAGCGAUCCGG